GCGGAUUUAGCUCAGUUGGGAGAGCGCCAGACUGAAGAAAACUUCAGUUGAAAAGUAAUCUGGAGGUCGUGUGUUCGAUCCACACAAUUCGCA
rfam:Naumovozyma dairenensis CBS 421 chromosome 3, complete genome